AGGUUAAGCUACAAAGAGCACACGGAGGAUGCCUAGGCGCCAGGAGCCGACGAAGGACGUGGCGAACAACGAUAAGGCCUCGGGGAGCUGUAAGCAAGCUUUGAUCCGGGGAUGUCCGAAUGGGGAAACCCGGCUGUCUUCAUCGACAGUCACUACUCACUGAAUUCAUAGGUGAGUGAGAGGCAGACCAGGGGAACUGAAACAUCUAAGUACCCUGAGGAAGAGAAAACAAUAGUGAUUCCGUCAGUAGCGGCGAGCGAACGCGGAUUAGCCCAAACCAAGGAGCUUGCUCCUUGGGGUUGUGGGACGUCUCACAUGGAGUUACAAAGGAACCGGUUAGAUGAAGAGGUCUGGAAAGGCCCGCCAGAGAAGGUAAAAGCCCUGUAGUUCAAAACCUGUUCCCUCCGAGACGGAUCCCGAGUAGUGCGGGGCACGUGAAACCCCGUAUGAAUCCGGCAGGACCAUCUGCCAAGGCUAAAUACUCCCUGGCGACCGAUAGUGAAGCAGUACCGUGAGGGAAAGGUGAAAAGCACCCCGGAAGGGGAGUGAAAUAGAUCCUGAAACCGUGUGCUUACAAGAAGUCAGAGCCC
rnacentral:rRNA from 1 species